GACGAACGCUGGCGGCGUGCUUAACACAUGCAAGUCGAACGGUAAGGCUCCAGUUUGCUGGGGCACAAGAGUGGCGAACGGGUGAGUAACACGUGGGUGACCUGCCCUGCACUUCGGGAUAAGCCUGGGAAAAUGGGUCUAAUACCGGAUAGGACCGCACCGGGAGGGUGUGGUGGAAAGUUUUUUCGGUGUGGGAUGGGUCGGCGGCCGAUCAGCUUGUUGGUGGGGUAAUGGCCUACCAAGGCGGCGACGGGUAGCCGGCCUGAGAGGGUGGACGGCCACAUUGGGACUGAGACACGGCCCGGACUCCUACGGGAGGCAGCAGUGGGGAAUAUUGCACAAUGGGCGGAAGCCUGAUGCAGCGACGCCGCGUGGGGGAUGACGGCCUUCGGUUUGUAAACUCCUUUCACCAUCGACGAAGGGUUUCUGACGGUAGAUGGAGAAGAAGCACCGGCUAACUACGUG
rnacentral:rRNA from 1 species